rnacentral:rRNA from 1 species
UACAGAGGUCCCAAGCGUUGUUCGGAUUUACUGGGCGUAAAGGGCGCGUAGGCGGCGCGGUAAGUCACUUGUGAAAUCUCUGAGCUUAACUCAGAACGGCCAAGUGAUACUGCAGUGCUAGAGUGUGGAAGGGGCAAUCGGAAUUCUUGGUGUAGCGGUGAAAUGCGUAGAUAUCAAGAGGAACACCUGAGGUGAAGACGGGUUGCUGGGCCAACACUGACGCUGAUGCGCGAAAGCCAGGGGAGCAAACGGG